rnacentral:lncRNA from 1 species
UCUAGGCUAAUGAAAGUUUGGUAAAGCUGCUAGAUAAAUGAUUCCACACUAAUUAAUACCUUUUAAGCUAUAAAGUCUUUACAGAUAAGAACAUUUUGUGAGCAUAGUGAUUACUUAUUUUUAAGUUGAGCAGAUCAAUGUUCAAAGGUAAUAAAAUAUAUCACCUAUGUAGGCAUUCUAAGAAGCAUGCCCUGAAAAUCUGUAUAAAAAUGCCAUAAUUAUAUAUGAAAAGCAAUAGAAUAUGUACUGUCUUAAACUCUGCCUACAGUUUUGCCAUUAAAAUUAUACUGUUCAAGACUAUAUUGUAUCACAGUUGGUGUAAAAAGUAAUUACUAACCAUAGAUCUUUAAGGAAAAUAAUUCGUGGGAGAUUAACAAUAGUUA